rnacentral:lncRNA from 1 species
GAUAGUAACUAGGUGUUAUUUUCUUUCAGUCUCUGCUGUGGUGCUUCUGAAAAUUACUGUCUUCUGAAGUAGGUUUGGGGAGUAGGUCAGAACAUACCUUAUCUGCUGUAGCCAAGGACAGAAAGGCUGGUUUUUCAUGCAGCCAUGGGGUGAGGCAUGAUUGUGCGUGUUCCCCAGUGGGUGUUACAGGGGCCUGCUCUCACAAGUAGAAAACUCUGUGUGGGGCGAAGGGAGAUGAUAAGUGAUCUUAUGGUGUGGCGUCUUUUCCUUUCCUAAACCAGGUAGGUUAUCGUAGCUGUAAAAACAGACACACUAGAGUCAGCUCUUGUACCCUAUGAAAGAAUACUGAUUCUUAUUUUUAUUUCUUGUAGCUGUUCUAAAGAAAUCCAAAUGGCAGUUCUGCUGAAAUUUGUUUCAGAAGGGGACAACAUCCCAGAUGCAUUAGGUCUUGUUGAGUAUCUUAAUGAGUGGCUUCAGAUACUCAAACCACUUAGCGAUGACCCCACAGUAUCUGCCUCACGGUGGAAAAUACCAAGUUCUUGGAGAUUACUCUUUGGCAGUGGUCUUCCCCCUGCACUUUUCUGAUCUAAUUUCUGUUUUAUACCUUAUACCCAAAACACUUACUACCAACACAGCUGUUAAACAUUCUAUACAAAAAAAUUGUAUGAUCUGGUAUUAGGAAAUUACUUUCACAGUAAAUAUCAAAGAAAAAAGAUUAAGGGUCUCUUUGCCAUGCUUUUCAUCAUAUGCACCAAAUGUAAAUUUUGUACAAUAAAAUUUUAUUUCCUAAGUAA